rnacentral:rRNA from 1 species
ACGGGAGGCAGCAGUGAGGAAUAUUGGUCAAUGGGCGGAAGCCUGAACCAGCCAAGUCGCGUGAAGGAAGACGGUUCUAUGGAUUGUAAACUUCUUUUGUUCGAGGGUAAAGUGAGAGAUGCGUCUCUUAUUGCAAGUAUCGGACGAAUAAGCAUCGGCUAACUCCGUGCCAGCAGCCGCGGUAAUACGGAGGAUGCGAGCGUUAUCCGGAUUUAUUGGGUUUAAAGGGUGCGUAGGCGGCCCCUUAAGUCGGCGGUGAAAUUUCCGGGCUCAACCCGGUCACUGCCGUCGAAACUGGGGGGCUUGAGUGCGUUUGGGGUGGCUGGAAUGUGCGGUGUAGCGGUGAAAUGCAUAGAUAUCGCACAGAACGCCGAUCGCGGAGGCAGGUCACCAAGCCGCAACUGACGCUGAGGCACGAAAGCGCGGGGAUCGAACAGGAUUAGAUACCCUGGUA